UACGGGGGGGGCAAGCGUUGUUCGGAAUUACUGGGCGUAAAGGGCUCGUAGGCGGCCAACUAAGUCAGACGUGAAAUCCCUCGGCUUAACCGGGGAACUGCGUCUGAUACUGGUUGGCUUGAAUCCGGGAGAGGGAUGUGGAAUUCCAGGUGUAGCGGUGAAAUGCGUAGAUAUCUGGAGGAACACCGGUGGCGAAGGCGGCUCUCUGGGCCUUACCUGACGCUGAGACGCGAAAGCGUGGGGAGCGAACAGG
rnacentral:rRNA from 1 species